CACACCCAGCCCCUCAAUAUCACAAGCGAGACCCAUCAGACCCUGUCUCUGGCGGCCGCCGCCCACCAGCGCCGCCCGCUCGUCGCCCCUAGCGCCCGCUCGACGCCCCCGGUGCUCUACAAGCUUCCGGUGCCUUCGAGCUCCGGCCGCGCGCCCCCUUCCGGCGGUCCGGCCGUCCGGGCUCCACAGCCCUGCACGGCUGCGCCCCUGCAGAGGAUCCGCCUUCUGUUUCUGUCAAGAGCAGCAGCAGAGGAUCCGUUUCAGACUCAUGGUUGGUCUCUUUGUUGAUUCUUUGAUUGGAUUAAAGAGAAAGACAUGUGAAGGUGCUAGUGCUAGUAAGAAUGCUGCUCGUGGUGUGCACAUGUUGCUGGAUUGUGGUUCGAAUCAUUGAAUGUGUAAGGUGUCACGAUAUAUGUAUGUCUUGUAAUGUGUCAUCCCAGUGUAAGUUUCCAGUUUCUA